UAGACGGAAGGUGCAAGCGUUACUCGGAAUUACUGGGCGUAAAGCGUGCGUAGGUGGUUUGUUAAGUCUGUUGUGAAAGCCCCGGGCUCAACCUGGGAAUGGCAAUGGAUACUGGCAGGCUAGAGUGCGGUAGAGGGUAGUGGAAUUCCCGGUGUAGCGGUGAAAUGCGUAGAGAUCGGGAGGAACACCAGUGGCGAAGGCGGCUACCUGGACCAGCACUGACACUGGAGGCACGAAAGCGUGGGGAGCAAACAGG
rnacentral:rRNA from 1 species